UAGGGUGGUUUUAGCGGUGGGGUCACCUGUUCCCAUUCCGACACAGAAGUUAAGCCCACCAGCGCCGAUGGUACUGCUAACGCGGGAGAGUAGGUCGCCGCCAGUU
rnacentral:rRNA from 1 species